GCAUUCCUGGACGCAGGACGCGAGGCAGCUCCAGUUUGGUUCUGUUGCUCAGCCUGAAAAACUCCCCAGGCACACACAAUACGAAGGCCUUCUUCCCUGAGUGGCUCCCUACCCGACUUUCUUAUGAAGAUACCAGGCCCACCCUGAUCUAGUAUAAACUCAUCUUCACCAUUAUGCCUGCAGAGAUCCUACUGCCGAAUCAGGUCAUCUUCUGAGGUUCCAGGUGGACAUGGGUGUGGUGGAGACUAUUCAACCCAGUAAAACCCCUCAAGCUUUGAAGUUUUCAAGUCUCAUAUUGUAACUUGUAAGAUAAAUGCCCAUUUGUUCAGGAUCCGUUUUAAUUUGAAAUAUGUCUAAAGGCAUAUUACCUUAUUACAUGACUUCCUUUUGUUUUGCAUGUAACCAAUAAAUUUGGGGAAGGUCUUGAA